rnacentral:misc_RNA from 1 species
CCCCAGUAUCUCCGAGAUGGCUCUAGUUAUCAUCAAGAUUACAUUCCAGUGGGNGAUAACCACCCGAAAGGGUCGCUAAUACCGCAUACGCACGCAAGUGGAAAGGGUUGCAAGACGCGCUGGAAGAGGGGCCUGCCUCCCAUCCCGUGCUUAGUGGUGUCAACGUACUCCCCUUCCUAGUACGGUUCGCUGGCUCUCCACAUGAUGAUCCCCCACGCUCCUCCUGAAACACGGGCCACACUCCUUCCGGAUGCAGCACUUGUAC